rnacentral:misc_RNA from 1 species
GAAUAUCCUUCUCAUGUCAAAGGUAUGUCAAUUAUAUCCCUGAAUUGCUUUGAUUUUGAUGGUGAUGUUGCAUACUUAAAUGUAGUGAGAAAUUAUAUCCAAACAUUUACUUGAGCUGUUGCUCUAAACUUAGUGUUAUUUUGAAUGACUUGACCAUGAAUUUGUUGAUAUUCAAGGCUUAUUGGAUAUCGAAUUUACAUAUGUUUGGAAAUUUUUGAAUGAACUACUAUGAAUUGCUUUAUUGCAAUCUAGAGUCUCACAUUUCACUUGCAUUUACUUUUACGUCUGUUUGUUAGGUUGAAAACCAAGAAGGGGUUG